AUUGAACGCUGGCGGCAUGCUUUACACAUGCAAGUCGAACGGUAACAGGGUGCUUGCACCGCUGACGAGUGGCGAACGGGUGAGUAAUGCGUCGGAACGUGCCGAGUAGUGGGGGAUAACGCAGCGAAGGUUGUGCUAAUACCGCAUACGUACUGAGGUAGAAAGUGGGGGACCUUCGGGCCUCACGUUAUUCGAGCGGCCGACGUCUGAUUAGCUAGUAGGUGAGGUAAAGGCUCACCUAGGCGACGAUCAGUAGCGGGUCUGAGAGGAUGAUCCGCCACACUGGGACUGAGACACGGCCCAGACUCCUACGGGAGGCAGCAGUGGGGAAUUUUGGACAAUGGGCGAAAGCCUGAUCCAGCCAUGCCGCGUGUCUGAAGAAGGCCUUCGGGUUGUAAAGGACUUUUGUCAGGGAGGAAAUCCCUAGUGCUAAUAACACUGGGGGAUGACAGUACCUGAAGAAUAAGCACCGGCUAACUACGUGCCAGCCGCCGCGGUAA
rnacentral:rRNA from 1 species